rnacentral:rRNA from 1 species
UGCUGUGAACUCGAAGAGUAGGGCGGGACACGUGGUAUCCUGUCUGAAUAUGGGGGGACCAUCCUCCAAGGCUAAAUACUCCUGACUGACCGAUAGUGAACCAGUACCGUGAGGGAAAGGCGAAAAGAACCCCGGCGAGGGGAGUGAAAAAGAACCUGAAACCGUGUACGUACAAGCAGUGGGAGCCUCUUUAUGGGGUGACUGCGUACCUUUUGUAUAAUGGGUCAGCGACUUAUAUUCUGUAGCAAGGUUAACCGUAUAGGGGAGCCGAAGGGAAACCGAGUCUUAACUGGGCGUUAAGUUGCAGGGUAUAGACCCGAAACCCGGUGAUCUAGCCAUGGGCAGGUUGAAGGUUGGGUAACACUAACUGGAGGACCGAACCGACUAAUGUUGAAAAAUUAGCGGAUGACCUGUGGCUGGGGGUGAAAGGCCAAUCAAACCGGGAGAUAGCUGGUUCUCCCCGAAAGCUAUUUAGGUAGCGCCUCGUGAACUCAUCUUCGGGGGUAGAGCACUGUUUCGGCUAGGGGGCCAUCCCGGCUUACCAACCCGAUGCAAACUACGAAUACCGAAGAAUGUUAUCACGGGAGACACACGGCGGGUGCUAACGUCCGUCGUGAAGAGGGAAACAACCCAGACCGCCAGCUAAGGUCCCAAAGUCAUGGUUAAGUGGGAAACGAUGUGGGAAGGCACAGACAGCCAGGAUGUUGGCUUAGAAGCAGCCAUCAUUUAAAGAAAGCGUAAUAGCUCACUGGUCGAGUCGGCCUGCGCGGAAGAUGUAACGGGGCUAAACCAUGCACCGAAGCUGCGGCAGCGACACUAUGUGUUGUUGGGUAGGGGAGCGUUCUGUAAGCCGUUGAAGGUGUGCUGUGAGGCAUGCUGGAGGUAUCAGAAGUGCGAAUGCUGACAUAAGUAACGAUAAAGCGGGUGAAAAGCCCGCUCGCCGGAAGACCAAGGGUUCCUGUCCAACGUUAAUCGGGGCAGGGUGAGUCGACCCCUAAGGCGAGGCCGAAAGGCGUAGUCGAUGGGAAACAGGUUAAUAUUCCUGUACUUGGUGUUACUGCGAAGGGGGGACGGAGAAGGCUAUGUCAGCCGGGCGACGGUUGUCCCGGUUUAAGCAUGUAGGCGGAGGUUCCAGGUAAAUCCGGUACCUUUUAACGCUGAGGUGUGAUGACGAGGCACUACGGUGCUGAAGUGAUAAAUGCCCUGCUUCCAGGAAAAGCCUCUAAGCAUCAGGUAACACGAAAUCGUACCCCAAACCGACACAGGUGGUCAGGUAGAGAAUACCAAGGCGCUUGAGAGAACUCGGGUGAAGGAACUAGGCAAAAUGGUGCCGUAACUUCGGGAGAAGGCACGCUGAUAUGUAGGUGAAGUCCCUGCGGACGGAGCUGAAAUCAGUCGAAGAUACCAGCUGGCUGCAACUGUUUAUUAAAAACACAGCACUGUGCAAACACGAAAGUGGACGUAUACGGUGUGACGCCUGCCCGGUGCCGGAAGGUUAAUUGAUGGGGUUAGCGGCAACGCGAAGCUCUUGAUCGAAGCCCCGGUAAACGGCGGCCGUAACUAUAACGGUCCUAAGGUAGCGAAAUUCCUUGUCGGGUAAGUUCCGACCUGCACGAAUGGCGUAAUGAUGGCCAGGCUGUCUCCACCCGAGACUCAGUGAAAUUGAACUCGCUGUGAAGAUGCAGUGUACCCGCGGCAAGACGGAAAGACCCCGUGAACCUUUACUAUAGCUUGACACUGAACACUGGUCCUUGAUGUGUAGGAUAGGUGGGAGGCUUUGAAGCGUGGACGCCAGUCUGCGUGGAGCCAUCCUUGAAAUACCACCCUUUAAUGGCUGGUGUUCUAACGUAGACCCGUGAUCCGGGUUGCGGACAGUGUCUGGUGGGUAGUUUGACUGGGGCGGUCUCCUCCCAAAGAGUAACGGAGGAGCACGAAGGUUGGCUAAUCCUGGUCGGACAUCAGGAGGUUAGUGCAAUGGCAUAAGCCAGCUUGACUGCGAGCGUGACGGCGCGAGCAGGUGCGAAAGCAGGUCAUAGUGAUCCGGUGGUUCUGAAUGGAAGGGCCAUCGCUCAACGGAUAAAAGGUACUCCGGGGAUAACAGGCUGAUACCGCCCAAGAGUUCAUAUCGACGGCGGUGUUUGGCACCUCGAUGUCGGCUCAUCACAUCCUGGGGCUGAAGUAGGUCCCAAGGGUAUGGCUGUUCGCCAUUUAAAGUGGUACGCGAGCUGGGUUUAGAACGUCGUGAGACAGUUCGGUCCCUAUCUGCCGUGGGCGCUGGAGAAUUGAGGGGGGCUGCUCCUAGUACGAGAGGACCGGAGUGGACGCAUCACUGGUGUUCGGGUUGUCAUGCCAAUGGCA